GCAGGGCUUAGCAUCCUUCCCACUCAGGUCAGACCCCUGGUGCAAUCUGGGGUGAGAGCCACCCAGCCACUAGGUAACCCUGAGGCCCAUGCGGAGCUGGGUUCUCGCCCGUCGCUCGCUCUGUCUCAACAAUCAAAACAUGUUAAUGCUCAGACUCUGGAUUCCCUUCGCCCCCCUCCCCUCAAAGGAUCCCAAAGCACACGGGGGUCUUUCUCUACAGGGAUUGCUCGCCGCAGCAACUUGAAGCUUGCCUGUUCCUGAGGACUCUGCAUUUCCUUGCUGGCGGUGGGUUUAGCAAGAAGGGCGCUGCCAGGUGCCCCUGCUCCCCUGGGAUAGAGGUGAACUCCGAGUUCUCGUGGGCCGUUCUCCUGCCUUCUCACUAGGGACGAUGACCCAUUCCCCGGGAGACUCUGGAGGGGUGUCAGCCGUGAGAAGGCAGAGCACAGAGCUUACAGAGGAGGAGGGAGGCAAGGCGGAUGGGGCUGGCAGGAGGGAGCUGAGCGUGCAGUCGGGGGACAGCAGUGAAAGUGAUGAAGAUGCUGACCCUCCCAGGAACCCGCUGCGGAGCUCUCUGACCCAGCUCUCGGGGCUGGAGCGUCUGGGCCUGCACAG